rnacentral:rRNA from 1 species
GAUGAACGCUGGCGGCAUGCCUAAGACAUGCAAGUCGAACGCGGAGGCCCACUGAAAGUGGAGUGCUUGCACAAAACUGGAUGUGGAUUUUCCUCCGAGUGGCAAACGGGUGAGUAACACGUGGGUUACCUGCCUCUAUGUUGGGGAUAACAGUUGGAAACGAUUGCUAAUACCGAAUGUGCUCUACGGAGUAAAGAAGCCCUUAAAGCUUCGCAUAGAGAUGGGCCUGCGGUGCAUUAGCUUGUUGGUGGGGUAAUGGCCUACCAAGGCAACGAUGCAUAGCCGAGCUGAGAGGUUGAUCGGCCACACUGGGACUGAGACACGGCCCAG